rnacentral:rRNA from 1 species
UACGGAGGGUGCGAGCGUUGUCCGGAAUCACUGGGCGUAAAGGGCGCGUAGGCGGCCUGAUAAGUAGGGGGUGAAAUCCUGCGGCUUAACCGCAGGGCUGCCUUCUAAACUGUCAGGCUUGAGCACAGUAGAGGCAGGUGGAAUUCCCGGUGUAGCGGUGGAAUGCGUAGAGAUCGGGAAGAACAUCAGUGGCGAAGGCGGUCUGCUGGGCCGUUGCUGACGCUGAGGCGCGACAGCGUGGGGAGCAAACAGG